UGCCUUUGGUGAAUUUCUUUUUUUUUUUUAAUGUUCAGAUCUGAUCCUGAAAGAAAAACAAAUGAGUUAAAUCAAUUCCCCGGCAACGGCGCCAAUUUUUGACUCGCGGUUGUCGAAGCCGGUCAAAAAUAACCUUUCUGGUUAUAAACAAUUUACAACUGCAGAUAGUGGUGAAAGGAUCAAAUCCACAGGGAAUUGAAGACUUACCUAUUUUCCUUAUCAAGACCAAUAAAAUAAACUGAAAUAAAAAUAAACUGCAAAAGAAGAAAACUGAAAACGAGAUAAACUGAAACAAGAUAAAACUGAAACGAGAUAAAACUGAAAACGAGAUAAACUGAAAUGAGAUAAAACUGAAAUGAGAUAAAACUGAAAGAGAAAUAAACGGAAAGCAAAAUAAACUAAAACGAGAUAAAACUGAAACCAACUAAACUGUAAGUAAAAUGGGGGGGUUUUGAGAUUGAUUUAAUUAAUCUAAAA
rnacentral:lncRNA from 1 species